rnacentral:lncRNA from 1 species
CGGCCUUCCUUCCCCGUUUUGGCCGCCGGAUCUGCUCCGACCAGCCAAGGGCAGAAACCCACGAAAUGGGUUUCCAGCUGGUUCGGGCCCGUUUUGGGCCGUUUCCCGGCCCCGGAUCCGCGAGUCGCUUUGGGAAGUUUUGUUCCUCGCGUCGCCCCCGUCGGAUUGAUCCGAUUUGCGCGCGAUUUGGUGAGUAAUCUCUCUAAUCCAUGAUUAGUUGGCUAAUUAUGCUUAAGGUUGGUUUAGAUUUAAUUAAUUAUGUUUAGGUUGUUAGAUUAGAAUAAAUUAGCAAUUAUUAGCCAAUUGUGAUCCGAAUUAGAUAAAUUGAAUGUGCAAUUAGCAAGUAGACGUGGUCUACUAAUUAUUGGAAGUGCCUCGGGAUUUUUCCCGACCCUUUGUGGGCUUCAAUUAGGCUUUUCAGGCCUAAGUGGAUUUUUUAGUAUUUAAUUAUUAAUUUUCGGAAUUAAAUUAAAUAAUUAUUUAUUUUCCGAAAAUUCAACUGAGAUGGCUCAGGACCGGAAUAUUGUGCUGAUGACCGUGGUGAAGUCCGUUUAUUUAAUCGGGCUUUAUUUUGAGCUAAAUUGAAUUUUUAAUAUUAAUUAUUUAAUUUUCGAAAUUAAUAAAUUAAUUAAUUAUUUUUCGGAAAUUAAGAUUUUGAUGGCCGACGACCGAAAUCUCAUGCUGAUUGUCGUGGCGCAGUCCGUUUAUUUAUUUGAGCUCCACGUUGCGUGGAAUUAAAUAAAUUGUGAUAUUUUGGGGAUUUACCCUAAAUUGAUUGGAAUUGAUUGAGAUUGAAUUAUUGAUUGGUAAAUGGCCAAGUAUGUUUAUUCAGCAUUUGCAAUGCUUUGUUGAGUUGUAAAGUGAGUAGAAUUGUGAGAGUGAUUUGAAUAUACUCUUGGCUAAGAUCCAUCAGGUAUGUUAAUAUCGUGUGAAGAUUGAGUGAGUUGAUGAGUAUGUGGGGAUUCAUCCCAAGAUUUGUCAAUGUCGGUAUUCAAUUAGAAUUUGACUAUGAGAGGUUGUGAGUUGAACCUCGGAAGCCGCCGAAGUAUGGCUAUGCCAGUUGGGCCGAGAUUUGCCACCGAAUUUGGAGUCGGUCGCGCCUGAUAAGGCCGUAAUCUGCCACCUAUUAAAGGUCGCGCCUGUUGGGCCGUAAAUUGCCACCUAUUAAAGGUCGCGCCUGUUAAGGCCGUAAUUUGCCACCCGAUAAGGGUCGUGCCUGAUAAGCCGUAAUUUGCCACCAUUAAAGGUCGCGCCCAUUGGGCCGUAAUUUGCUACCUAAAGAUAGGUCGUGUCCUUCGGGACUGUAAUUUGUUGCCAAGAAAUUUGGUAGACUAUGCUUGUGAAGUCAUGAGUACGAUUUGAAACUGAAUAAGGGAAACGACUGGGGAAUGGUCGAAUUGACAUGAAAUCGACUAGGUCGAUGGAUCGAGAUAUUAAUCUGUGAUGUAAUUGCUUGGGUGCCUAUUGAACUGUGCUAAUAUGCAGGUGGAGUCUGAGGCCAAGGUAAGUCCUCUGCCCUGUGCGUGUUUAGGCAGCCUAUAGUAUAAUGGUUUACUAAUCGGGCUAAGUGGGGUAGAACUCGCUGAGACGUAGUCUCAUCCCGGUUUGGGGAAAAAACAUUUCAGGACCCCGCUGAGGAGCUGAGGAGGAGUCUGAGAAGGAGAACUCGGGGGUGAAACUUAAGGAGAAAGAUUUUUGGGAGAAGAAGAUAAUCCCGAGAAGGGCCUUGAGUACGGCCCGGAUGACUGAGAGUUUAUCUUAUUUUGAGAUCUCCUUUUUGAUGUGAUUAAAGUUUAGAGUAAAAAGUUGUAGAGUGCUCUGGUUUGUGUUUUGUAUAAAAGUUUGGUUAUAAAUUUCAAUAUGAAAAAUAUGGCCCUGCUUUUCUAUCCCAUCGUUUUAUUGUCUG